rnacentral:lncRNA from 1 species
CAAAUAUAGAGAAAUUCUAUACAUCAAUUAUUAAUUUUUAAAAAAGCAGUGAACAAUUAUUUGAAAUGUUUCUGUGAGUAACUAAAGACUCUUUGCCCUUGGUGACUAGAAUAUUUACUCAUUUUAAUUUUCUUCUCAGAUGAUUUCAUUUUAACAGAUUUUUUUUCCUGCUUCUUGUCUAAGAUCUGCUUAUCCUUUGCUUUGAGAACAAUGUCUAGACAGAGUCCUGCAUUAAAAUUCAGUUAUUCGCUGAGCAUCUAGCAAGUACACUAAGUGUGAUGUUGACCAUGUGGGCACCUUGGGUGCUGACAAAUCAUUCUGCUUCGGUGACCUGGAAAUCACAAAUGCUAUGCUUCCCUCCAGUGGCCCAUUAUCACCAACAAGUACUCAGCUGUGAUGGAUGGCUGUGGAGCCAAGUUGGUAAAUUUGCAUAAUGAGCCUUCCGCAAACAUUACAUUGAAAACAACAUGGUGGAUCACAUCACACACAAGGCCAGCUUUUCAAUACGUUAUUUCCAAUUGAGAGGGUGUAAAGGAUGGUCACAGCACAUUCCUCUUGGGGAACCUCGAAUCACACCUAUAACCCUAACACUGUGAGUCUAAGACAAGAGGAUCACCAGUUUGAGGCUGGCCUGGGCUACAUGAUGAGCUUGAGGUAAGCCUUAGCUACAUAUUAAGACUGUCUCAAUUGAGUAACUCAAGGACAACAGAUGAGGUGAGCAUUUCUUUGAUCUUUGUUCCAUGAUUGCAAUUGUUGAUCUUGAUUGUCAACCUGAGGGGAUUUAGACUUGCCUUGGAACCAUGCCUCUGGGUGUGUCUAUGAGGGCAUUUGAAG